rnacentral:rRNA from 1 species
UACGGAGGAUCAGAGCGUUAUCCGGAUUUAUUGGGUUUAAAGGGUGCGCAGGCGGGAGAUUAAGUCGGCGGUGAAAUUUUGCAGCUCAACUGUAAAAGUGCCUUCGAAACUGGUUUCCUUGAGUGUGGAUGAAGUAGGCGGAAUUUGUGGUGUAGCGGUGAAAUGCAUAGAUAUCACGAGGAACUCCGAUUGCGCAGGCAGCUUACUAAACCAUAACUGACGCUCAGGCACGAAGGCGUGGGGAUCAAACAGGAUUAGAUACCCCGGUAGU